ACACUGAUGGUGAAGUGGUUAUCAUGCUUGCCUUCCACUAUGACGUGCAGCAAGCGGCAGGGGUUCGAUUCCCCUUCAGUGUA